rnacentral:rRNA from 1 species
GACGAACGCUGGCGGCGUGCUUAACACAUGCAAGUCGAACGGAAAGGCCCUGCUUUUGUGGGGUGCUCGAGUGGCGAACGGGUGAGUAACACGUGAGUAACCUGCCCUUGCCUUUGGGAUAACUUCCGGAAACUGGGGCUAAUACCGGAUAGGAGCUCCUGCUGCAUGGUGGGGGUUGGAAAGUUUCGGCGGUUGGGGAUGGACGCGCGGCAUAUCAGCUUGUUGGUGGGGUAGUGGCUUACCAAGGAUUUGACGGGUAGCCGGCCUGAGAGGGUGACCGGCCACAUUGGGACUGAGAUACGGGCCAGACUGCUACGGGAGGCAGCAGUGGAGAAUAGUGCACGAUGGGCGGAAGCCGUAUGCAGCAACGCCGCGUUCGGGAUGACGGCCUUCGGGUUGGAAACCGCUUUCGCCUGUGACGAAGCGGGAGUGACGGUAAUGGGUAAAGAAGCACCGGCUAACUACGUG